GUGCUCCCUUCGGCAGCACAUAUACUAAAAUUGGAAUGAUACAGAGAAGAUCAGCAUGGCCCCUGUGCAAGGAUGACACCCAACUUCAUGAAAAAAGAAACUCAUGG
ensembl:snRNA U6 U6 spliceosomal RNA